ACUGUUAGCAGCAUAGAAUUGAGGAGUUGGAAGAGACCUUUAAGACAGCUUAUCAUUAUGCCGACUGGGUGUCCGCACUAAGUUCGGUAUUAAUAUGGUGACCUCCUGGGAGCAGGAGGCUAUCAGGUUGCCUAAGGACAGGAGAACUGGCCCACGUCAGAAAGGGACCAGGUCAGGACUCCCGCACCAAUCAGUAGUGGGACUGUUCCUGGGCAAUAUAGCAAGAUCUUGGUUCUU
ensembl:misc_RNA Metazoa_SRP Metazoan signal recognition particle RNA